GUGGGACUUCAAAUACUUCUUUUUCAAAUACUUCUUUUUUACUUAGUAUUGCGACAUUCACCCACACUUGAAAAAAACUUGACUUCGAGUUAAUUUCUGGACCAAACAAUAAUUGGACGACUAUCUCCUAUACCAUUCUCCUCCUCCACUUGAGAUAAAUUCGACCUCCAAUUUUAAAUUGUUGAAAAAUCAAAAUUUUCAUUGAAAGAUCACAUCAUAUCUUCUUCUUAAAUGGUAUCAAUAAGUUUCGCUUGAAUAAAAUUGAUUUAAGCAAUUUUGCAUCGGCCUUAGCAUGUUUAGACUCACUUGGACAAAUAAAAUCAACAAAAACAUGAGGGAAAUUAUUAUAGAAAAUUUAAAUUUUCAUUGAAAUCUCUUUGGCUUGAUGUUUUUCUUUCCCCAUAGUACUCUUUUCAAAUUCUUCAUUGUCCACCAUGGCAAAAAGUAUUGCAAAAGUGUCAAAUUCAAAUUCAAGAUGAUCCCUUUGUUCUACAAAAUCUUUUAAUGAUUUGUUUUCAAUCUUUUGUAUGAACAUUGAGCUCCUCAUUAAGCAUGUUGAUUCAUCUUGUUCACAAUCUUCCUCUUCAUCCUUUCCAUCAGGUCCACAAUAGAUUUCAUCAUCAUGUUUUUCAACAAUGUUGACAGAUUUCCUCUUUGGACAUUCAUUAGACUUGUGCCCCAUCUUAUUGCACCUAUAGCAUUUGACUGGAACGGGUUUAGCAUGGGGAUUAUUGGUCUUUGGAGAGUUAGAACUGCUGGCUUUAUUGUUGACAUUUGCAGGAUUCUUGGCUAUCUUCACAUUACCACUCAAAGAAACAUCUUAUGAGGUUUCCUCCUUUUUAGUUCUAGCUUGGUGGUCAUCUUUAUCAUAUGCAGGAUAAUAAAUUUGGCGAGUUUUCUCCUGUAACAUCAUCUCAGCUUUCAAGGCUAAGUCCCUUGCUUCUUGCACGCUCAUAACCAUCUGAAUUUUAAUUUUAUUACGAAUUGAAGGUUUUAAUCCCCUCAAAUAUCGUGCUGUAAUUCAGCGGUAUAUUCGUUGACACUCCCUUAUAUGCAAUUUUGGUAAGUUUUAAAUAAAUAUUGUUCAUAAUCUAGAGGUAAAAAUUUACCCCUUAAUAAUUGUUGCAUUCUCCCCCAUGUGGUGGCUGGAUUGCGCUCUUCUUGCCUCCUUGUCUCUUUCAAUUGAUCCUAUCAUACGGAAGCUUUUAAUUUAUAAUCCACCAAUUUUACCUUUCGUUCCUUUGAAAUUUCAGCAUACUCGAAGAAAUGAUCCACAUUAGUCAACCAAUCAAGAGAACUUUUAAUGUCAAUAUCUCCACUAAAGGUAGGGAUAUCUAUCUUCAAUUUGAAAUAUUCAUCUUCAAUUUGAACUCA
rnacentral:misc_RNA from 1 species